rnacentral:snRNA from 1 species
GUGCUCCCUUCUGCAGCACAUAUACUAAAACUGGAAUGAUACAGGGAUUAGCAUGGCCCCUGCACUAGAAAUGUCUUCUGGUAGCAGAGAGAAAUAUGGAAACAAU